CUCGAAAUAGCUCAGUGGUAGAGCGGCCGGCUCUGGUCCGGCUGGACGCAGGUUCGAGCCCUGCUUUUGGGG
rnacentral:tRNA from 1 species